rnacentral:rRNA from 1 species
UUAAUUCGACGCAACGCGAAGAACCUUACCAAGGCUUGACAUAUACAGGAAUAUGGCAGAGAUGUCAUAGCCGCAAGGUCUGUAUACAGGUGGUGCAUGGUUGUCGUCAGCUCGUGUCGUGAGAUGUUGGGUUAAGUCCCGCAACGAGCGCAACCCUCGUUCUGUGUUGCCAGCAUUUAGUUGGGGACUCACAGGAGACUGCCGGGGUUAACUCGGAGGAAGGUGGGGAUGACGUCAAAUCAUCAUGCCCCUUAUGUCUUGGGCUGCACGCAUGCUACAAUGGCUGGUACAAACGGCUGCGAUACCGCAAGGUGGAGCGAAUCCGAUAAAGCCAGUCUCAGUUCGGAUUGGGGUCUGCAACUCGACCCCAUGAAGUCGGAGUUGCUAGUAAUCGUAGAUCAGCAACGCUACGGUGAAUACGUUCCCGGGGCUUGUACACACCGCCCGUCACAUCACGAAAGUCGGUAACACCCAAAG